rnacentral:piRNA from 1 species
GCACUCAAGUCCUGUCUCAGGCUUUGCUUU